GCAGUCGAACGAACUCUGGUAUUGAUUGGUGCUUGCAUCAUGAUUUACAUUUGAGUGAGUGGCGAACUGGUGAGUAACACGUGGGAAACCUGCCCAGAAGCGGGGGAUAACACCUGGAAACAGAUGCUAAUACCGCAUAACAACUUGGACCGCAUGGUCCGAGCUUGAAAGAUGGCUUCGGCUAUCACUUUUGGAUGGUCCCGCGGCGUAUUAGCUAGAUGGUGAGGUAACGGCUCACCAUGGCAAUGAUACGUAGCCGACCUGAGAGGGUAAUCGGCCACAUUGGGACUGAGACACGGCCCAAACUCCUACGGGAGGCAGCAGUAGGGAAUCUUCCACAAUGGACGAAAGUCUGAUGGAGCAACGCCGCGUGAGUGAAGAAGGGUUUCGGCUCGUAAAACUCUGUUGUUAAAGAAGAACAUAUCUGAGAGUAACUGUUCAGGUAUUGACGGUAUUUAACCAGAAAGCCACGGCUAACUACGUGCCAGCAGCCGCGGUAAUACGUAGGUGGCAAGCGUUGUCCGGAUUUAUUGGGCGUAAAGCGAGCGCAGGCGGUUUUUUAAGUCUGAUGUGAAAGCCUUCGGCUCAACCGAAGAAGUGCAUCGGAAACUGGGAAACUUGAGUGCAGAAGAGGACAGUGGAACUCCAUGUGUAGCGGUGAAAUGCGUAGAUAUAUGGAAGAACACCAGUGGCGAAGGCGGCUGUCUGGUCUGUAACUGACGCUGAGGCUCGAAAGUAUGGGUAGCAAACAGGAUUAGAUACCCUGGUAGUCCAUACCGUAAACGAUGAAUGCUAAGUGUUGGAGGGUUUCCGCCCUUCAGUGCUGCAGCUAACGCAUUAAGCAUUCCGCCUGGGGAGUACGGCCGCAAGGCUGAAACUCAAAGGAAUUGACGGGGGCCCGCACAAGCGGUGGAGCAUGUGGUUUAAUUCGAAGCUACGCGAAGAACCUUACCAGGUCUUGACAUACUAUGCAAAUCUAAGAGAUUAGACGUUCCCUUCGGGGACAUGGAUACAGGUGGUGCAUGGUUGUCGUCAGCUCGUGUCGUGAGAUGUUGGGUUAAGUCCCGCAACGAGCGCAACCCUUAUUAUCAGUUGCCAGCAUUAAGUUGGGCACUCUGGUGAGACUGCCGGUGACAAACCGGAGGAAGGUGGGGAUGACGUCAAAUCAUCAUGCCCCUUAUGACCUGGGCUACACACGUGCUACAAUGGAUGGUACAACGAGUUGCGAACUCGCGAGAGUAAGCUAAUCUCUUAAAGCCAUUCUCAGUUCGGAUUGUAGGCUGCAACUCGCCUACAUGAAGUCGGAAUCGCUAGUAAUCGCGGAUCAGCAUGCCGCGGUGAAUACGUUCCCGGGCCUUGUACACACCGCCCGUCACACCAUGAGAGUUUGUAACACCCAAAGUCGGUGGGGAACCUUUUAGGAACCAG
rnacentral:rRNA from 2 species